rnacentral:lncRNA from 1 species
AAUGACUUCCCUUGUGCACAAACCUUGGGCAGAUUUGCACACAAAAUGUGACAACGGGUUGAUAAGUAUGAUACCAUAUGUGAAUAUGAACCAGAAAAGACUGAAAUCCAUGUUCAAAAACCUCAUAAAUUACAAGCUGCUCUGCCGUAUACUUCAUUUCAGGAAGAUAUGUAACCUAAAAAGGCACCAAGAAGUGGUACAGCAAUAAGCUGCACAAACAAGUAAAAAGGCUGUGUA